rnacentral:lncRNA from 1 species
CUUGUUAAGAAGCUUUUUCUGUAUUCUUUACAAACUAUUUUCUUGUUAGUUGAUUCAAUCAGGGGAUUGAAUCAAGGUUGUAGAGGUUUUGUUGCCCAAGGUGACAAGCCAAGGAGGGGGGGGGGGCGGGUGAAUUGGUUUCUCUUAAUUUUUACUAUCUUACUUAUGUCAAUUGAUGAGUUAGUGAAAUAGAACAAUGCACAAUACAAACACACAAGAAGUAUAGUGGUUCGGUGCUCUCCUAAGCACCUACGUCCACUCCCCAAGCGACCCCUUGGGAAUUCACUAUAAUCCUGCGGAUUACAGUUAGAUUGUUUUCCGGGCUCACAAUCCAAAAAUCUUUACACUUUGGUUUUCCGGGAUCACCAAAAACCUAUGUUGGUUUUACGGGCUCACCAACGAACCUAUGUUAGUUUUACGGGUUCACCAACGAACCUUCACAAUUGGUUUUAUGGGUUCACCAAUAAACCUACACCGUUGGUUUU